rnacentral:rRNA from 1 species
UACGGGGGGAGCAAGCGUUGUUCGGAUUUACUGGGCGUAAAGGGCGCGUAGGCGGCCACCGCAAGUCGACUGUGAAAUCUCCGGGCUUAACUCGGAAAGGUCAGCCGAUACUGCGGGGCUAGAGUGCAGAAGGGGCAACUGGAAUUCUCGGUGUAGCGGUGAAAUGCGUAGAUAUCGAGAGGAACACCUGCGGCGAAGGCGGGUUGCUGGGCUGACACUGACGCUGAUGUGCGAAAGCUAGGGGAGCGAACGGG